rnacentral:rRNA from 1 species
UACGUAGGGACCAAGCGUUGUUCGGAUUUACUGGGCGUAAAGGGCGCGUAGGCGGCUUGACAAGUCACUUGUGAAAUCUCCGGGCUUAACUCGGAACGGCCAAGUGAAACUGUGAUGCUAGAGUGCAGAAGGGGCAAUCGGAAUUCUUGGUGUAGCGGUGAAAUGCGUAGAUAUCAAGAGGAACACCUGAGGUGAAGACGGGUUGCUGGGCUGACACUGACGCUGAGGCGCGAAAGCCAGGGGAGCAAACGGG